rnacentral:lncRNA from 1 species
AUUACUAUUUUACAGUGGAAUUAUUAAUUAAUCUUAUUAGUUAAUACUAAUUAACCCUACACUAGGAUCUAAAUAUGAUACAACAGCAUGCAUUUAAAUUUGAAAUUCAAAUUUGAAACAGUAAACUUUUUACUGUACUGUGUUCAAGACACAUCACCUUUUGUGGGUAGUCGAUCACCGUAAUCUGAUCACCGUCAGAGGACUCUGAUCUUCACAUCGCAGCCACACUAGUAUCUGACCUC